rnacentral:rRNA from 1 species
UACGUAGGGUGCGAGCGUUAAUCGGAAUUACUGGGCGUAAAGCGUGCGCAGGCGGUCUGUUAAGACAGAUGUGAAAUCCCCGGGCUUAACCUGGGAACUGCAUUUGUGACUGGCAGGCUAGAGUAUGGCAGAGGGGGAUGGAAUUCCGCGUGUAGCAGUGAAAUGCGUAGAUAUGCGGAGGAACACCGAUGGCGAAGGCAAUCCCCUGGGCCUGUACUGACGCUCAUGCACGAAAGCGUGGGGAGCAAACAGG